rnacentral:lncRNA from 1 species
UUUAAGAAAUUUCAGAUUUUAUUCAUAUGAAUAUAACUUUUAAAAUGGAAUUCAUACUUUCAAAACCAAACCUUAUACAACAGUCCAACAUUUGUGACCCUUCCCCUAACUUAAAGCUAGCUCUUCUUUAUGCAAAUGAAAAUUCAUGUUCCAGGAAAAAACUAAAACAGCUGGUAGGUAUCUACCAUGAAUCAGCUGGCUUGCCCAAACAAGCAGAUUUGACGAGACAAGAUGGCUAAGUCUAUAAAGGAAGGGGAGUAGAAUCAAUCAUAAAUUCUACACAGCAAUUCUGCUUUAUAUACUAUUUCUUCCCAAAACCACAACCAUUACAAUCUCACUUAUACAAAUUUCUCAAACCGUACAUAUAUCUAAAAUCCCAAAGGUAAGAAAAAAAAAAUCAAGGAAUCCUGAUCAGGACAAAGUUGCCAGCUCUCACACCUUGUUCUUGCAGAAGCAAGUAGACGUUUUUCCUGUUAUUUUCAAUGAUAGCAAGAACAAAAUUGUUAGCUAAAGUUGAAGCUCUAGACAAAUACCACAUGGUUAGUAUAAGCUUUCUGUUUGUCAACAUGAUUCUUUCAAUAAGCCUCAAAUACCAGUUCUGAAAGCAAUAUUCUCCAGAAAACAAACAAAGAGAAAUGCUGUAAUUAAAGAGAAGAAUGUUGAAUUUAUAAGAAAGUUCUAACUCAACAUAUAUAGGAAAGAAGAUCUUACCCCAGGGCACCAUUGUCUUGGGCCUUCUCCUUCUUCAAUGGCAAUUGAUAUGAAGGUGGUCCAUUCAUCUGAAAUAAAACCAAAAAAUAGAUUAACCUGCUGAAUUGCCACUUUUAAAACUUAACAAGUAUAGAGGUGUAAGGGGCAGAGACGGUUAUCCAGCCAAGAACUCUUAAUGUGCACAACAGGACAAUUUGCCCAAUUUUUUUGGCUGGUAUUCAGCAACCAAAGAACCACUCCACCGACACCGAAGCAUGUUUUAAUUCACAUGUGGAACGAAUGAGAGGCUAAAAGAAUCACCCACCAAACCAUCUUUGCUUUCUACAAACAACCGUACAGCAUCAUCAGCAGCUCCACUGUCAAUAAUUCC